rnacentral:rRNA from 1 species
UACGGAGGGAGCUAGCGUUAUUCGGAAUUACUGGGCGUAAAGCGCACGUAGGCGGAUAUUUAAGUCAGGGGUGAAAUCCCAGAGCUCAACUCUGGAACUGCCUUUGAUACUGGGUAUCUUGAGUAUGGAAGAGGUAAGUGGAAUUGCGAGUGUAGAGGUGAAAUUCGUAGAUAUUCGCAGGAACACCAGUGGCGAAGGCGGCUUACUGGUCCAUAACUGACGCUGAGGUGCGAAAGCGUGGGGAGCAAACAGGG